rnacentral:tRNA from 1 species
GCGCGAGUGGCGGAAUUGGCAGACGCGCACGGUUGAGGGCCGUGUGUCCUAGCGGACAUGGGGGUUCAAGUCCCCCCUCGCGCA